rnacentral:misc_RNA from 1 species
GAUGAAGAACGUAGCGAAAUGCGAUAAGUAAUGUGAAUUGCAGAAUUCUGUGAAUCAUCGAGUCUUUGAACGCACAUUGCGCCCCCUGGUAUUCCGGGGGGCAUGCCUGUCCGAGCGUCAUUGCUGCCCUCAAGCACGGCUUGUGUGUUGGGCCCCCGCCCCCCGGCUUCGGGGGGCGGGCCCGAAAGGCAGCGGCGGCACCGCGUCCGGUCCUCGAGCGUAUGGGGCUUCGUCACCCGCUCUGUAGGCCCGGCCGGCGCCCGCCGGCGACCCCAAUCAAUCUUUCCAGGUUGACCUCGGAUCAGGUAGGGAUACCCGCUGAACUUAAGCAUAUCAAUAAGCGGAGGA